GAGCUACCUCAGUACUCAACUUUGAUGCUUCAAGUUCUGUUCAAUGGGAGCUACCUCGUCCACUUACUGCCUAUUAAAACUUUGUUGAUGUUUAAAUUUUUCUAGUGCUUUUAAAGUUCAUCAAUUGGCAACUUUUGGUAAUAAAAAGAAGGCUACAUGGAUUUUUCCCAAAGUAAGUCUUGUUCAAUUCCUUUUGGCAUGUCGUGAGCGUCUGAGUUCAGAAGACUUUAGCAAAAAAUCUGAGAGUAGCCCAACAGAUUCACAGAAGCUGGAUCCAAUUCAAGUAAAUUUUCACUAUCACAGAAGCUGGAUCCAAUGCUUCCUGAAGGUGUUCGAUGAUCCCAUGUCAUUAACCGAGGAGGAGCUGUAUGAAUUGCGAAACAGCUGGGCUACUUGUUUUCUUGACCUGUACAAUCCCGAGGUAGAUUAUGAUGUUGCCGAUGAUGAGGCUUAGGAGCUAGCUAGGUUAAUUUCUGUGAUGUUACAAUGGAUUCACAUUAAUUAGGAUGUUUUGAAUUGUAAUGACUUGUAUUUUGCUUGAAUUGUAAGACUUGGUAUUUUAUUUGAAUUGUAAUGACUUGGUUGAUUGUAAUUGUAUUUUGGUUGAAUGU